CCUACGGGAGGCAGCAGUGGGGAAUAUUGGACAAUGGGGGGAACCCUGAUCCAGCCAUGCCGCGUGUGUGAAGAAGGCCCUCGGGUUGUAAAGCACUUUCAGUGAGGAAGAACGCCUGGUGGUUAAUACCCAUCAGGAAAGACAUCACUCACAGAAGAAGCACCGGCUAACUCCGUGCCAGCAGCCGCGGUAAUACGGAGGGUGCGAGCGUUAAUCGGAAUUACUGGGCGUAAAGCGCGCGUAGGGUGGCUUGAUAAGCCGGUUGUGAAAGCCCCGGGCUCAACCUGGGAACGGCAUCCGGAACGGUCAAGCUAGAGGGGAGGAGAGGAAGGUAGACACCCCGGUGGAGCGGUGACAUGCGUAGAGAUCGGGAGGAAUAGCAGUGGCGAAGGCGGCCUUCAGGACUGACAAUGACACGGAGGUGCGAAAGCGUGGGUAGCAAACCGGAUUAGAUACCCGUGGAGUC
rnacentral:rRNA from 1 species